GACGAACGCUGGCGGCGUGCCUAAUACAUGCAAGUCGAACGCAGUGGGGACGGGUGAGUAACACGUGGGUAACCUCCCAUCAGAGGGGAUAACACUUGGAAACAGGUGCUAAACCGAUAUUGAUGGAUGGACCCGCGGUGCAUUAGCUAGUUGGUGAGGUAACGGCUCACCAAGGCCACGAUGCAUAGCCGACUGGAGAGGGUGACCGCACACACUGGAACUGAGACACGGCCCAGACUCCAAGGGGAGCCAGAGGUGGGGAAUAUUCGGAAAUGGACAAAAGUCGGACGGAGCACGGCCGCGUGGGGGAAGAAGUUUUUCGGAGCGUAAACCCCGGUUUUUGGAGAGAGGGUAUCAAACCAGAAAGCCCCGGCUAACUACUGCCAAGCAGCCGCGGUAAUCC
rnacentral:rRNA from 1 species